UUUAACAAAGCGGGAGCAAAGUGACGUCAAGAAAGUUCCUAAAGGUGUUCCCCUACAGUUUGACAUAAACAGUGUCGGAAAACAGGGAUGACGUUGAAUGAGCGGUUUGGGAUCCUGAAGGAACAAAGAGCCACUCUCACAUACAACAAAGGGGGAAGCCGCUUUGUCACCGUGGGAUAGGUCCCAUGUCACAGGAACUUUUGAGUGAUGACUCUGAAAAGUUAAAUAGCUUGAAGAGUUCAUCACAGAAAUUCAAGAAACUUUACUUCAAAAUAUUCGCAAGGCUAAAUAACUCUUAUUUUUGAAGGUUUUUUUUUUUAAAAAAAAAAAGUAUAAAAUAAUGCCCUGAAAGAAUAAUAGGGAUUAUACCUAUCUGUUCUUAAAGAUUUCGUGGUUGGCUCAGACAGAACAAUCAUCUGUUUGACUUCUUUGGUUCCUCAUGCAGCAGAAGGAAGACAGAAAGAUAGAAAUUGAUUAUUUUUAUGAUAGUGGUAUUCAGGAUCUCAUCACCUUUGCCCAUAUUUUA
rnacentral:sRNA from 1 species